rnacentral:RNase_P_RNA from 1 species
GGCCGGGGAAACCCGAGGGAAAGCGCCACAGAGAAUAUACCGCCACCGGACGGGUCGCUUGCGAUACCACUCGGCGGUAAGGGUGAAACGGUGGGGUAAGAGCCCACCGGGGGGCUGGUAACAGUCUCCGCAUGGCAAGCCCCACCGGGAGCAAUGCCGAAUAGGGACCUCGCGCGGGCUUGCCCGCAGGGACGCUUCAGCCCAGAGGUCCGGGUUGGCAGCUAGAGCGUGUCGGUAACGGCCCGCCCAGAAGAAUGGUCAUCCAUGGGGGUAACCCCGGGACAGAAUCCGGCUUACAGGCCAUCCGCGCUU